CCUACGGGUGGCAGCAGUGGGGAAUAUUGCACAAUGGGGGAAACCCUGAUGCAGCGACGCCGCGUGAGUGAAGAAGUAUUUCGGUAUGUAAAGCUCUAUCAGCAGGGAAGAAAAUGACGGUACCUGAGUAAGAAGCCCCGGCUAACUACGUGCCAGCAGCCGCGGUAAUACGUAGGGGGCAAGCGUUAUCCGGAUUUACUGGGUGUAAAGGGAGCGUAGACGGCAGAGCAAGUCUGGAGUGAAAGGCCGGGGCCCAACCUCCGGACUGCUCUGGAAACUGUACGGCUAGAGUGCUGGAGAGGUAAGUGGAAUUCCUAGUGUAGCGGUGAAAUGCGUAGAUAUGAGGAGGAACACCAGUGGCGAAGGCGGCUUACUGGACAGUAACUGACGUUGAGGCUCGAAAGCGUGGGGAGCAAACAGGAUUAGAUACCCUGGUAGUC
rnacentral:rRNA from 1 species